rnacentral:rRNA from 1 species
AGAGUUUGAUCCUGGCUCAGGACGAACGCUGGCGGCGUGCCUAAUGCAUGCAAGUCGCACGCUGUUCCUUCGGGAAUAGAGUGGCGAACGGCUGAGGAACACGUGGGGACCUACCCUUCAGUGGGGGACAACACCGCGAAAGCGGUGCUAAUCCCGCAUACGCUCUGCGGAGGAAAGCGUGAGCAAUCACGCGCUGAAGACUGGCCCUGCGGCCCAUCAGGUAGUUGGCGGGGUAACGGCCCACCAAGCCCGUGACGGGUCGCUGGUCUGUGAGGACGACCAGCCAGACUGGGACUGAGAUACGGCCCAGACUCCUACGGGAGGCAGCAGCAAGGAAUUUUCGGCAAUGGGCGAAAGCCUGACGGAGCAAUACCGCGUGAGGGAGGAAGGUUCUUGGAUUGUAAACCUCUUUUCUCAGAGAAGAAUAAUGACGGUAUCUGAGGAAUAAGCAUCGGCUAACUCCGUGCCAGCAGCCGCGGUAAUACGGAGGAUGCAAGCGUUAUCCGGAAUGAUUGGGCGUAAAGGGUCUGUAGGUGGUUGUUCAAGUCUGCUGUUAAAGCGUCUGGCUUAACCAGAUAAAGGCGGUGGAAACUGAACGACUAGAGUGCGGUAGGGGUAGAGGGAAUUCCCAGUGUAGCGGUGAAAUGCGUAGAUAUUGGGAAGAACACCUGUGGCGAAAGCGCUCUACUGGACCGCGACUGACACUGAUGGACGAAAGCUAGGGGAGCGAAUGGGAUUAGAUACCCCCGUAGUCC